UACAGAGGUGGCAAGCGUUGUUCGGAAUUACUGGGCGUAAAGGGCGCGUAGGCGGCCUCGCAAGUCCCGUGUGAAAUCCCUCGGCUCAACUGAGGAAUGGCACGGGAAACUGCGGGGCUUGAGUUCGGGAGAGGGAAGCGGAAUUCCUGGUGUAGCGGUGAAAUGCGCAGAUAUCAGGAGGAACACCCGUGGCGAAAGCGGCUCUCUGGGACGGUACUGACGCUGAGACGCGAAAGCGUGGGGAGCAAACAGG
rnacentral:rRNA from 1 species